AUUCCAUUCCUACCAUUCCAUUUAUUUUAAAUUCCACAAAUUCCAUAUAUGUUUACCGGUUACACCCUUAGAAAAAGCAAACACUAACAGUUCCAAAUAAAUUAUUGGAUCCCAAAAUGAAACGUAAAAAGUUAUAAUGGUCUACAUAAAGUGCAUCUGGCCCAUUAUCUCCAUCGAUGGAGUGUAUAUUAUCUCUUUCAUCUGUGCAAUCAAAGAAGUUGAAUGUUGGAAACUGAUGUUUGAAGAAUCAACUCUUUCUUUCUCUGUUCUUGGUUUCUUAGUCUUCCAUUGAUUCUCAUAGUAUAUGAGCUUGAGACUUCCAUUCUCAGAAUCAUACUGAGGAUGGUGAACAAUAAGGACGUGACUUCCUGUAUUGUCUCUGUUUCUCUUCAAAGACUUGGGUUUUGUUAUUGCUCUGUCAUGAUCUCUCUGUUUUCAGUCUUCUGUCGAUAUUGUUGUUGCUGUUUGUCGUUGCUGAUAACAAACAAUUGAGCGAUGAAAGAUCGAUCGAAGUAGCUUUGUCACCAACAUGUUGAAUUUCACCAAUGACUCAAAUUCGUGCACAAAUGAGUUGGUGAGAAGAAGAGCAGAGUUCUUAGCCAUAAGCUUAUUUCAUCCCCAUAUCAAAUCUGAUCCUUGAUGCUCCAUGAUUUUGCUCUCUCGGGUCACUCCAUAGAUAUCUUGCGCGUAAACGGAUUCUAAUCCUUCCAUUGGAUCAAACAAAGCCCUGAGAAAACCAACAACGCCAAUGUGAGAAACAAAGCAAGUUUUCCAUAUAGAAAUGAUCAUUUCAUGGAACUUAUCUCCAUCUAUAUUCAUGUUCAUCUGUCCACAAAAACCAAAUUUUCAGGUUUGAAGUUUUCUUAAGAUGGUUGAACAAAAAAAAAGUCUUCUUAAGAUUAAUCAAUGUCUUGCAAACAUAUAUAUAUAACGUUUGUAGUCAUACAUUAUUUUCAGCCAAGAUAGGAGGGAGUAAUGGUAGGAGAAUCUUCAUUGGCGGACUUGAACUCCUGCGUCUUGAGGUUCAACCCUGGCUUCACCCAUACUUUGGCUUCAUAAAGUGUCUUCUUCCCAACCCCCAAUGAUCUCCAGGGUGAGAUGAUGCAUCGUUUUUUCUACAACUUUUUCUUUCUCGUUCACCACCGCACAAACUUGACCACUGCAUUAUACGAUUUUGAAAAACCAAGAGCCCAAAACAUUACUCAAUGAUAAAAUCACUUCCAAGCCUGGCCAAAGAGAUCUAUAUAAACGUACUCAUCAUCCACCAUAAAUCAAUUCCCAAGAUCUACACUUAUCACACUGAAACACUAAACAUGCGAAGGUAUAACAGUAACUGAAAGCAAGAUGAAUAAUUAGAAAUAACACUAAAUCCCGUUAUAGAUUAAACGGAUAUCAAAGCAGAAACAUGAAUCGAUAACAAAAGCUAUCAUAACAAAUUUUGGUUUUAGUGUAAGAAAAGAAAAAAAUAAAACUUAAAACUAAAAGCUUAAAACAACUCUUCCAGAAACAAUGACCAUGUGCAUAAACUGAAAUAAGUUAAAUCUCUCAGAAACCUAAGAGGAAAAACUGGUGAAUUUUACGGAAGGAAACUCACAUAUUUAUAGGUUGGAUUCACACGAUGCAUUGAUGAGGGCAUGCAUUUAAUCAGACAUCGUGGGAAGAGUGGAGGAUUGGUGUUAAUCUGAGCCUUAAUGGUGAUGCUUGAAUGUGGUCGACUUAUGUAACGGUGCUGGAUUUCGUUGCCAGUGAAACGACUCCAAUCGAUUAGCCACAUGAUUUUGUUUACCGGUUAAAAGAGUUCAAACCGAUUAGUCACACACGGCGUCCUCCAACUGAGUCUGGCCUGAGUUAGGGGCUGUUUGUUUCACCAUUUGUCAUCUCCAUCCAAAUGAUUCAUUUGUAUGAUCCAUUCAGAUUUUUCUGAUUGUUUGUUAAUCCAUCCAGAUAAUUCAUCUAGAUGAAUCAUCUAAAUGAAUCUUAUGUUUGUUUCUUUGUUUUCAUUUCCAUUCAAAUGAGUUUAGUAAACAAAUUACCAAAAUACCCUUGUAUUGUUUUAAUCAUAUGUUUGAUAUUAAUUUUAACUAUAUUACAUUUAAUUAUUUAGUUUAAUAUAUUUACAUUAAAAUUAUUUCAAAAUUAACGAGUUUUUUUUUUGCGGUUUGGACGAAAAAAAAAAGUUUUUUUGGUUUUAGCGAGAAAACACAUUUUUCGGUUUUGGCGGGAAAACAAGAUUUUUGGUUCUGGCGGGAAAACGAGAAACUUGGUUUUGGCGGGAAAAUACAAAUUUUUGGUUUUGGCGAGAAAACAUGUUUUUGCGGUUUUGGCGGAAAGAGACGUUUUUGGCGGGAAAACGCGCUUUUUGCGGUUUUGGAGGAAACACGUUUUUGCGAUUUUCACGGAAAAAUGAAUUUUUUUGGUUUUGGCGAGAAAACGAGAUCUUUCGUUAUUGGCGGGAAAACGCGUUUUUGCGGCUUUGGCGGGAAAACACGUUUUUUCGGUUUUGGCGGAACAACGCAUUAUUACGGUUUUGGUGGAUAACGCACUUUUUGCGGUUUUGGAGGAAACACGUUUUUGCGAUUUUCACGGAAAAACAAAUUUUUUCGGUUUUGGCGAGAAAACGAGAUCUUUCGUUAUUGGCGGGAAAACGCGUUUUUGCGGCUUUGGCGGGAAAACAUGUUUUUGCGGUUUUGGCGGAAAACCGCAUUUUUACAGUUUUGGCGGAAAAACGCAUUUUUGCGGUUUUGGCGGAAAAAAACACGUUUUUGCAGUUUUGGCGGGAAAUGCGUUUUGUAAUUUUGGUGGGAAAACACUCUUUUACAGUUUUGGCACGAAAACACGUUUUUGGCGGGAAAACGUGUUUUUGCGGUUUUGGCGGAGAAACACGUUUUUGGCGGGAAACGCGUUUUUGUGUUUUUUUUUGCGGUUUUCGCGGGAAAACAAGAUUUUUCGGCUUUGUCGGGAAAACGAGAUUUUUCGGUUUUGGCGGGAAAACGAGAUUUUUGAUUUUAGCCGGGAAACACGUUUUUUUGGUUUGGCGGGAAAAUACGUUUUUGCAAUUUUGGCGGGAAAACGUGUUUUUGUGUUUUAGCGGAAAAAUGUGUUUUGGGGUGUUGACGUGAAAACAUGUUUUUUGUGAUUUUUGGCAUGAAAACACGUUUUCUGUUUUUGCGAAAAAACACAUUUUUGCAAUUUUGACAGGAAAAUGCGUUUUUGGGGUUUUGGCGUAAAAAAAUAGUUUUAGGUUUUCGUGGAAAAACAUGUUUUUGUAGUUUUGUUAAUUUUCGUAUGAGACAAAAAUGAUAUUAUGUUUAGGUUUGUAAUUUGUGAAUUAUGUUAUGGACAUAAUAGAUAUUAUAUCAUUUUGAAUGAACUAUUUCCAUUCAAAUGAUCCAAAUUGGUUCAAAACUUUAAAAUUAAUCUUAAAUUUCUAAAUGUCAUUCGAAUGAUCCAUUUGAAUGAGUUGCACUUUUAGUGUCUAAACAAACAAAACUUUCAUUUUCACCCAAAUAAUUCAUCCAGACGAAGAAACAAACGGGUCCUUAGUGGUUCUCCAUGAUACAGUCGGAUGCGUGGAAGAACAUGAGAUGUUAUGCGGCGGCAACGGAGUUUUGGAGAAGAGAGACGUACAUGUGGGUUUCAUACUUUCAUUUAAUCAAUACACAAAGCCUUAUUUACUAAAGCCAAUUUGAAUAAGAUUACCAAAAGUCCAAUAAUGAUCCAUCAAAGAACUGAACGGAAAAGAAAUACCUUUACAAAUGACCGAAGCCCAUUAUUUAAAGGUUAAAUGAAACGCAUAGUAUAAGAAACUAGACACGUGUCGCCCUCUGGUGCAUAGAUUUUCUGAUCUGAAAUCCUAGGUGGCAGCACACUAGAAAUGAAGAAACCGUACGUCAUAUAUAUAGAAGAUUCCACCCGUCCACAAUAAAAUUCCUUUCACAUAGACGAAAAACAUCCAUAAUAAUCGACCGUCGAUUUUGCAUUGUAUCAUUAGGAAGGAAGUUUUUUUUUUUUUUUUUGGUAAAAAUGUUAAGUUUAUUACCAUUUUCAUUUUAGACAGAUUUUACAAAGAUCACAAGAAGCAUUAGGCAACUUUGCUUCCUCUCCCUUCAGUCAAGGCAAUGCUAUGUAUUCUAUGUUGUGCGUGGUUGGGGUCUCCUUCGUUUUUUCAAUACAUGAGAAAAACGUAACCUAUGAUUUUACCCUUAGCCCGACUGAAACACAUAUUCAGUCCACGUAAUUUAACUUCACAAACAUGGAACUUCAUACGAAUUCAGUCCACAAACGUAUUUAAUAUUGCGUUUCAGCAAGCCCUUUCUCAAAAAAUUAUUAUUAUGUUUCAUUAAACUUAUCUUUCAAAACAUUUUUUUUCUAAAAAAUAGAUCCUUUUAAAGCGGAUGGGGUAUAUUUUAUUGUGAUUCAUUAAUAUUUUAUUUAAAAAUCAAUUUAACAAAUUAAUAAUUUGUCAAAUUCUUUUACUGUUGAAACUUAACUGGAUUUAAAAGGACAUUAGGGAAUUCGAAUAAUAGUUAUACUGAACUGAUAAUCCUGAAUUUGGAUCUUAAUAUAUUGAAAUUCUAUGAUAUCUAACCAACUUCUAUAAAAAAUAUGCAAACAUUAUUUUGGUUUAAAAUAAAACAAAAAACAAAAUAUUUAAUACAAUCGAUAAUGCUCUCCAGGAUACGCUCCUGGCUUUGCUCCGACGGAUUGAUUGCAGAAUUUCACGUGAGCUUGUUUCAUCAAUCGGUAGGGACUCAGUUCCAAAAUACUUUCUCUUAAAAGUAUAGAUCUGGAUCAAAUUAAUAUAGCCUUGAAACUUCUAGUAAUAAAAUCCAGUUGACUAAAGUUAAAUAUUAUUUCAUAUGUUUCAUAGCUCUUCGAUGCUCAGUUUAAAAGAUAAGGGAAUAAUAAGGAUUAGAAAAACAGAAGAACAAGUGGGGAUUUUCAAUUUGUUUUAGAGUUUCAAUGAAAAACUAAUAAUAUUUUUUAAUUUAUUUUUCUAUUUGGUUGAAAUGUAGUUAGGUGUAUGGGUAAUAAUGUUUUUCUAAUCAUUAUAGUAUUUGAUAUUAUUUUCUUAAUCUUUUAAACUGAGCAUUGAAAAGCAAUGGAAAAAAUUCCAAAUAGUUAGCACAUACAAAAAUAGAUAAUUCGUAUAUUAAAAAAAACAUAAUUUUAUGUAGAGGUUUGGAUUCCGCCCUUGUAUGUUUCUCAGUUUUAUAAAUCAAAUUCAGAUGGAAAAAUAAUGUAGAGCCGGUAUAACCUUUUAUUAGUAUAUCUUCAUCACAAAUGGAGUAUACUGUUACGUACAUAAAAACAAAAUAUAAGCCCAAAGACCGAACAGCCGAACACCAAAGUAGCCAUAAAUCUUGGAGGAAAACGUGAUGAGUUCACGAUCAUAUUUAUUUUUCAGGCAUAUUUCUACAUUAUCUAUAAAAAGCAAAGAGAAUCAUGCCAACAACAAUUAUGAUUAGUCGACUUUGUAAAUGUGAUGAUACAUAUUCAAGUUAUCCAAUUUAAACAUCUUUAACAAUUAUGGCUAUAAUUAUGUUGUAUCUAUAACGAGAGUCGGAGACGUUAGACCAAAGUAUCCAAAGAUAGGUUUAACUUGAAAAUAACAAUUAUUGAUAGGGGUUCCACCAAUAUCAUUCGAGUCUAUCAUGUUUCCCAUACUUUUGCAGGUAACACGAACAUGUAACGUGACAAAAUUUUGUUUUCCUCAACGGUAACAAUUUAAUUUACCUAUUCUAUUCGUGAAUCGAUUAGACGUUUGAAACUAAAUUAUAUUGGACAUAGAAAAAAAAAACAAAAACAAUACAGACAACCGGCAAAAAAAAGAGUCCAGCGUAAUUUGUUUAGCUGUUUAGAGAAAAACUGUUAUCAUCAAUUAUGAUAGAUUCAAAUUUGAAUAUAGUAUAGCUUGCUGGGGAAUGAAGGACUUUUGUAUUACAUAGUUCUCAAAUGUGUUAUGAGCAUCAGUAGUUAAUUGUAGAUGAGCUGUGUAGGAUGUUUAGGGGAAACGAAAAAGAGUGUAGCUUAAGAGGGUAGCUUUAGACUGAAUUUUUGUGUGUAUAUAUUGCAUCUAAUGGAAAAAAAUUAGAAUUAAUUAUAAACUGUUCUAUAGAAAAACGUAUGAAUUAAGAAUUAGUCAGUGUCAACUUCUUUAUAACAUCAAAGAGCUUUGAUUUCUCUAGAUGGUAAUAAAUUAGUAACAAAUAUAGUGGCAAACUAACAAAAAAUGAACAAAUACUCUUUUGGUUAAAAAAGGAUCCAUGUUUUAAAACAAAAUUUGCUUCAAAAAAAUAUAUUUUACAUUUUAAUUCAAUUUUUAUUAAAUAAUAAUGACAAUUUGUAAGCUCUUUAAAAAUAAUUAUAUUUAUUAAAUUGUGAUUGGCUAAAAGUUGUAGAAAAUAGUUAAUCAUAAAAAAAAAUUAUAAUUAAAACUGCAAGAUGAUUUUGUGUCAAAAAUCUAAAAGAUAUUCUCUUAAUGAGUAUGAUAUAACUAAAAUUGCAGUAGUAUAAUUGAUUUCGAUAGAAUUUCAUUUAUUAAUUAGAAAACUGAAUUAUUUCACGACACUGAGACUUGUCCUAUAAAUACAACAUUUCCUCCUCUUAACUUGUAUCACAAAGCUAAAUACGAAAGAAACAUGGGGUUCUUGGGUAAGAGUAUAUUGUCGAGUCUCCUUGCAAUAUGGUUCUUCACUUCCUGUGCUUUCACUGAAGAAGUGAACCAUGUGAACCAAACGCCUUCCUCUGCUCCUGCUCCAUCUCCUUACCACCACGGCCACCACCACCCACAUCCUCCCCAUCACCACCACCCUCACCCUCACCCACCGGCAAAAGCCCCUGUCAAGCCGCCGGUUUCUCCACCUUCUAAACCUCCGGUUAAGCCUCCAGUUUACCCCCCAACCAAAUCCCCGGUUAAGCCCCCAACUAAACCUCCGGUUAAGCCACCAGUUUCCCCACCAGCAAAACCUCCUGUUAAACCUCCGGUUUACCCUCCGACCAAAGCUCCAGUUAAGCCCCCAGUCAAACCUCCGGUUAAGCCACCAGUUUCACCACCGGCCAAACCUCCAAUAAAGCCACCAGUUUCACCACCGGCCAAACCUCCGGUUAAGCCCCCGGUUUACCCUCCGACCAAAGCCCCUGUUAAGCCCCCGACCAAAGCCCCGGCUAAGCCUCCGGUCUCUCCUCCAGCCAAACCACCAGUAUCCCCUCCAGCUAAGCCACCGGUGAAGCCACCGGUUUACCCGCCAAAAUUCAACAGAAGCC
rnacentral:lncRNA from 1 species